rnacentral:lncRNA from 1 species
GGUGAUGACUCAGAGUGGGAAGAUUCAGGGGUCAUUGCUGAAUUCCUUCAGGCUUCUCAGUGUCUGCACCAUUUCCCCUGUGAGACUCUUCCAGUCUUUCUUUUAUAACUAGUAUGUCUACAUUGAGUUUUGGCUUGAGACGGAACGCUGCUGAUCCAAGAGAGACCACAAAACUCUAAAGAGACAGUGCAUGAUUUAUGCUACUCGGAAGUUGUGCGGAAAACUGUGAAAAGCUUUUCAGCAUUCCAACAGAAGGUGGCAGGACGGAGGAGCUGCCCAGGACACAUAAAAUAGGAGACGAUAAAGUAAAUUAGAACUGAACCCCUUAAAUGUCAUUUAACAGAUGAGAUGUUCAGAUGAGCACUGUGACAAAAUGAGUCCAGCAAAUGCCCCUCUCCUGAUCAGUCAUGGGCCAGGAACACUGUGCCAAGAGACACGGAGGACACUAAGGCUUUCCAGCUAUUUCUCAAGCUUCCUGGCGACAUCAAUUACAUGCACCCCUUC